rnacentral:rRNA from 1 species
AACAGGAUUAGAUACCCUGGUAGUCCAUGCCGUAAACGAUGAGUGCUAAGUGUUGGAGGGUUUCCGCCCUUCAGUGCUGCAGCUAACGCAUUAAGCACUCCGCCUGGGGAGUACGACCGCAAGGUUGAAACUCAAAGGAAUUGACGGGGGCCCGCACAAGCGGUGGAGCAUGUGGUUUAAUUCGAUGCUACGCGAAGAACCUUACCAGGUCUUGACAUCUUCUGCCAACCUAAGAGAUUAGGCGUUCCCUUCGGGGACAGAAUGACAGGUGGUGCAUGGUUGUCGUCAGCUCGUGUCGUGAGAUGUUGGGUUAAGUCCCGCAACGAGCGCAACCCUUAUUGUUAGUUGCCAGCAUUUAGUUGGGCACUCUAGCA